UAAUUUUAGAGUUCCUUCUAAAUCGAUUCUCUGGGGUGCACCCACUACUGUUCUCAGAGGCCAUACCUCAAUGAAAACACCUGACCUGACCUGUUGGAAACACCUGACAGUAAGUAUGUUCAGUCACUGCCCCUAAAACCUUGCUAAUAUUUUCGGGAGUUGGCAAGGCCAUAAAAGGAAAAACAAAAAAAGAGAACAGCUUAUUGACCAAAACAAAACGCAAAGCACACUUUUUUUUGGAUUACUGUUUCUAGGGAAAAAUAUCUUCAUUUCCAGCAUUGCCACGCAAACUAUACAACUUGAUGAAACUUCGGGUCACUAUUAGGAUUAUGUUUAAUUAUUCAAAUUCUCACAGGGUUAUUUCUAGCUAUACAUUACACUGCAGAUAUUAACUUAGCAUUCAAUAGCGUAAAUCACAUUUGUCGUGACGUAAAUUAUGGUUGAUUACUACGAA